UACGUAGGGUGCGAGCGUUGUCCGGAAUUAUUGGGCGUAAAGGGCUCGUAGGCGGUCUGUUGCGUCAGGAGUGAAAACUCGGGGCUUAACCCCGAGCCUGCUUCUGAUACGGGCAGACUAGAGGUAUGCAGGGGAGAACGGAAUUCCUGGUGUAGCGGUGAAAUGCGCAGAUAUCAGGAGGAACACCGGUGGCGAAGGCAGCUCGCUGGGACGGUACUGACGCUGAGACGCGAAAGCGUGGGGAGCGAACAGG
rnacentral:rRNA from 1 species